rnacentral:lncRNA from 1 species
AAUCCUCCGGCAGAUGAAGGAAGAAUGAGAGCACGAAGAAUGGAAAGGAAAGUUUUAUGGGCCAGGGCUGGAGGUAGUAUUGAUCAUUUCUUUCCAUAUUUCAAUGGCUAGAACACAGUAAUGUGGCUGCACCUAACUGCAAAGGAGGCCAGGAAAUAUAGUCCUGUGUGCUAAGGAGGGAAAGGAAAAUGCUUUGGUAAACUGCUUAGCCUCUAGUCACUGGUAUAUUGAGGAUUAAAUAAACGCUUGUAAAGAGUUUAGCUCAGCAUCUCUAUGCACAUAGUGAGGGGUCAAUAUGACCAUGAUACACUCUUCUUCUCAGUGAAGUAGGUAUAGCAUUAAUCAUUCUCACUUUGGAGAUGGGAAACAGGCUCCAAUAGGUCGUUACUUUCCCAAAAUUGCAUGGUUAGCAAAUAGCAGAGCUGGGAUUAAAUCUAAGUCAAUUUUCUUAAAAAGUAGAAUGUAUUUUGUGUGUGUGUGAUUUUUUAAAAAUAAAAUUUUAAAGGCCAGGUGCGGUGGCUCACGCCUGUAAUCCCAGCACUUUGGGAGGCCAAGGUGGGUGGAUCACGAGGUCAGGAGAUUGAGACCAUCCUGGCUAACACGGUGAAACCCCGUCUCUACUAAAAAUACAAAAAAAAAAAAAUAGCCGGGUGUGGUGGUGGGCGCCUGUAGUCCCAGCUACUUGGGAGGCUGAGGCAGGAGAAUGGAGUGAACCUGGGAGGCGGAGCUUGCAGUGAGCUGAGAUAGCGCCACUGCACUCCAACCUGGGGGACAGAGCGAGACUCCAUCUCAAAAAAAUAAAAUAAAAUUUUAAAAUCUUUUUUUUCUCUUUUUCUUACUUUUGUGGAGGUGCAUAUCUUGGUAGAAUGUUUCUUGAAGGCACUUGACAAAUGUAGAUUCUGCCUUUGUAUGGACAGGCCAUACUCUCAAAGGUUCAGAUAUACUUAGCUCUUCUGAUUUCCUGGAAUAUCAUGUUGUACCUUUCUCAUGUCACUCAUAAGUGAAUCUGGGCCAAGCAUUGCUAAAAAUUGGAUUGUUUAUUCCCACUUUAUGGCCACAGGUCUUGUUGCUGAGACUACUGAUCUCCAAAGUGGAAUGUGCUCACUCUAGAGGUAUACAAGAUAAUUCACUGAAGUGUGGUAAGAAUUUUCAUAGCUUCUACUUAGGUUUAUCAUGAGAAAAUUAAGCCCUAUUCAUCCAUAUGGAUUGAGGUUGGCAUCCCCACAUUGUUUCUAUAUUUGACGCUCACAUCAGAUGAGAUACAAAUGGAGUUUCUUUCUUUGAGCAUUAGUGACAUAUUGUGGUUCAAAAGGGGAUUUAUGGAUUUUUAAAAUCUAACUUUAACAAAAUGAAAUAUUACAAAGUGAAUAAUUGGUUUUAAAAAAUUGCUGGGAAAAAGAAAACCCUGUGAAUUGAAGAUGAUACAUAGGAUCCCCCACUCUCAAAUGGCAGAACUGACACUUUUACUUAGUAUGAUCCCUUCAUCAGUCACAUUAUGAAGUUAAAUACAAUGAUUAACAAAAUCUGACCAGCUGACUCAAAACAUCCAAAACUAUUAAAAAAUCUAUUUGAAAUACAGUAUUAAUUUGUAUCCACUUAAUAACAAGAUACAGAAACCUAAGUAUAUAUUUUCCCUGAGAUAAAAGUUUAUUCAUUUUCAUUGUAUUCCUUCAAACUUUUUGUUUACAUUUCAUAAUGUAUAUUUUAUAUUAGCCCAAUAGUGGAUGUGUAUAACUUAUAAAGUAAUAUACAUAUAUUGGGGGUAUAUGCUCAAAUUAAGUGUACUUAAUUUGAGAUUAUUGAUUUAGACAAACAACUCUACCUUUCUCCAGUUGAGAGUUCUAGCCUGUGAACAUAGCAGUGAUUAGUACCUAAUGAUCAUGCAGUUAAGAAUUGGUUGCUAUUAUUACUAUUAGGUUUGGUUCUAAAGCCCAAAAAGGUACAGAUGAUUCGGAUGCAGACAUAUCAUUUAUAUAGAACCCCCACCAUUUUGCCUCAAGUAAACAACAUAAUCUGUCUCUCUGGAGACAGUUUCUUUGUUUGCAGCUAUAAAAUUUGCUGCAGUUGUAAUGCUGGAUCUAAGAGGCUGUCAUAUUGACUUGAGGAAUUCCAGAAAGGCCUCCCUGUAACCCUUUUCUUCUAGUGUGACUUAGGGAAACCCAGAAAGAACUCCCUUAACUCCUCCACCAGCAAAGGCUUCCUUCCUCAUUCUCACCUGAAGCCCCAUUAUUAGCAUUUAUUCCUGUGAAGGGGACUACCUUCACUUCAUGCCCAGAGUUCACCUAUUCCAUUCUGUUCUCCCAAGCACCUAGUGUAAAACUCAACGACAGCACUUUGACUGUAGGUACAGUCCUUCCUCCAUAACUGUGGGGAGUUGGUUCCAGGACUCUCCUCUUUUUUUUUUUUUUUUUGAGACAGUCUCUGGCUCUGUUGCCCAGGCUGGAGUAGAGUGGUGCUAUCAUAGCUGACUGUAACCUCAAACUCUUUCCCCUUGAAAUCUGCAGAUGUUCAAGUCCCUUAUAUAAAAUGGCAUAACAGCCUGGGCACCACAGUGAGACCCCAUCUCUACAAAAAAAAUUAAAAAUUAAAAAUUAGCUGGAUGUGAUGGCACAUGCCUGUAGUCUCAGCUACUUGGGAGGCUGAAGCAGGAAGAUCACUCAAGUUCAGGAAAGAGUUCGAGGUUACAGUCAGCUAUGAUAGCACCACUCUACUCCAGCCUGGGCAACAGAGCAAGAGACUGUCUCAAAAAAAAAAAAAAAAAAAGGUAUAAUAUUUGCAUAUAACAUAUGACAUCCUCUUGUAUACUUUAUUAUUAUUAUUACUUUUGAGACAGGGUCUUACUCUGUCACCCAGGCUGGAGUGCAGUGGCGUGAUUACAGCUUACUGCAGCCUCGAUCUCUGAGGCUCAAGUGAUUCUCCCACCUCACUCUCCCGAGUAGCUGGGACCACAGGCAUGCACCAACACAUCUGGCUAAUUUUUGUAUUUUUUGUAGAGACAGGGUUUCAUCUUGUUGCUCAGGCUGGUCUCAAACUCCUGGGCUCAAGGGAUCCACCCACCUUGGCCUCCCAAAAAGCUGGGAUUACAGGCAUAAGCCACUGUGUCCAGACUCUCUUGUAUACUUUAAACCAUCUCUACAUUACUUAUAAUACCUAAUACAAUGUAAAAGCUAUGUAAGUAGUUGUUAUACUAUAUUUUAAAAUUUGUAUUUUUUAGUUGUUUUAUUAUUUGUUUUUUCCCCAAUAUUUUAAAUCCAUUUUUGGUUGAAUCCAUGGAUGCAGAACGUGAGGCUAGAUGGGCCAGCUGUACUUGUUUAUGUGUCUGCCUGCCUGCUGAAUACCAUGCUUCCGUGGGGAUAAAUGCUACCUUAUUCAUAGGCUUCAGAAUUAGACAGUGCUGACUAUAUGAUCUUAGGCAUGUUGCUAAUCCUCUCUUGGCCCAUGAUCUCAUCUAUAAUAUAGGAAAAUACUUCAUAGAGCUGUUGUGAGCAUAAAAUGAGACAAUAUUUUUUAAAAAGUUUGGCUCAUUUUAGGUGUUCAACAAAAAUUAUUGCUAUUUUCUCCAUCCAUCUACCCAACACAAUAAUAAAUGCCUUUUGAAUGCCUGUUAAGUGAAAACAUGAUGAAUCAAUUUAUUUUGUUUAAGUGCUGAGAUCGUCUUAUAAAAUAGAAGUUUUCAAUGAAUAAUGACUAUUGGAUAGGAAAGUAUUUGAAGGAAAAAUUUAAAAAAUGAAUAAUGACUAAUGUUUCAAGAGUGUUUACUACAUCUCAGGUACUGUGGUAUACAUUUUUGUUUAAUCCUCACGACAACCAUAUGAAGUAGGUACUCUAUAACUAAAAUCCCCAUUUCACGAACAAGAAAACUGAGGUCUAGUAAUUUAUCUACAGCUGAGUGGUGAAGUCAAGAUUAGAUUUCAGUUCUAUCUGACUCUAGGACCCAUAUACUUAACUGUUGUUGUAUUGCAGAAUACUUAAGGUUUAAAUACUCAGUUUUCAGCCCUGCUUAGGGCUGGCUCUGUGUUUUAUUGCCAAACUCAAAACAAGCUGUAUAUAUUUGGAUUAGAGCAAACAUUGCCUAGGGCUUUCACAAACACCUCAUGGAGACCAUCCUGUUCCCUCCCCCACAAGACUGUGCCUUCGGAAAAGCAAUGUGCUUAGUAGCACCAGGAAUCAGAUCCUUUGAAGUAUACAGCCCAUGAAAUCAACCUGCCUGGACUUUGGCCCAUCUGCCAGCUCUGAGUCAGCUGGCAGGAAAAAGGGCCAGAGGCUCAGAUGUAAUCAGUUCCUAAACAGGCCCAACUACACCACCUCCACCUUCUUCAGCCUCUCUUAUCCUUCCAACCUGAUUUCACCACAAGAAACCUGUUUGUGAGGGAGGGCACCACAUCUCUCAGAAGUGGUCCAGUGUUUCCCCAUUAAUGCCUCCCUCAUUAACUCCCUGCCAUGGACAGCCAUACUUAGAUCAUAAACAACAGAAAAUAUUAAUGCUAAUUAAUUCUGGAGGCACUGGCAGUCUGUUGGAAUAGAGUGCAGACUUUGGAGUCAAAUCAGCCAGGUUUCAAAGUCCCAGCUUUCCAAUAGUGCUGGGCAAAUUGUAUAAUCUCUAAAUUUCAGUUUUCU